rnacentral:lncRNA from 1 species
UUUGUUGGUUCGGAGUUUGAUGUAAGUCCAGCGAUUGGCAUUCGGUUUCCAUGUUUGCCUGUUUGUGUGGAGUCUGAUGUAAGCCCAACGAUUGGCAGUCGGUUUCUUGCGUGUGUGUUUUGUUUCGGCGUGCGUGAGCCGAACUACGGUAGCUCUGAUUCUCAUUCCAGAUGAGAUACGUAGGCAUAUGAUGCGAUAUCCUAGCGAGCCCGCUCCCCCUUUUUUUUCCAUCUGUGUUGUUUCCAG